UCUCCGUAGGUGAACCAGCGGAAGGAUCAUUCAUAAUAUGCGAUUUAUGCCACUUUUUUAAAUCGAUAUCCACCUUGUGCGCAAUGUCAGGGUUGAUUUUUCUCUCAAGAGCAUCAGCCUCAAACAUCAACGAUAUCUUAACUCUUUGUUUGCAAAAUAUUUUAAAUAAAACAAUCCAAAAUACAACUUUUAACAACGGAUCUCUUGGCUCAC
rnacentral:misc_RNA from 1 species